GGGAGAUGAAUUUAGCGCUAUCUUUUUUAAGUUCUUAAUAUUCAUUGGAGUAUUUAACAUUGAAGACUGUCUUUUAUACUUGUGUCUUUAUUUGCCUUGACUACAUCUGCCUUGAAGUACUAUCUUUAUCAGCUGUAGAUUUACAUUCUAUGUCUUUCAUUCAGAGACAUGGCACUUUAUUUUUUCAUAUACAUGAGUUUUUGAAAAAUACUAG
rnacentral:lncRNA from 1 species